rnacentral:misc_RNA from 1 species
GAUGAAGAACGUAGCGAAAUGCGAUAAGUAAUGUGAAUUGCAGAAUUCAGUGAAUCAUCGAAUCUUUGAACGCACAUUGCGCCCGCUUGUAUUCUGGCGGGCAUGCCUGUCCGAGCGUCAUUUCAACCCUCAAGCCCCCGGGCUUGGUGUUGGGGAUCGGCGAGCCUCCGCGCCCGCCGUCCCCUAAAUCUAGUGGCGGUCUCGCUGUAGCUUCCUCUGCGUAGUAGCACACCUCGCACUGGGAAACAGCGCGGCCACGCCGUUAAACCCCCAACUUCUGAUCGUUUGACCUCGGAUCAGGUAGGAAUACCCGCUGAACUUAAGCAUAUCAAUAAGCGGAGGA